UGGUCAGGAUGGAUCAUUGCUUUGAUG
rnacentral:misc_RNA from 1 species